GGAUCAUUAACGCAUGAUUUCUCAAGCAGCUGCNUGCUGUUGUGAAACGCACGCACACGUCCUAUCGAAACAGUAACGAUAUACAUUUUUUGCCCGCGUGCGGCGGCGGCAUGAAGCCAACGCCACGCGGGUCCGUCCGCUCCAAUAUUUUCGGGGUACCUAACCAUUUUUUUAUUGUCCUCGAUGCGACCCACGGUGACGGCUUAGAGCCCGAGUGCUCGCCGGGUCGCCAUGGUUCAAAGAGUGGCCUUGCUCUCUUACGGCCACCGCCCCGACCGACCGACGUCUUGUCCGAUAAGAGAAGCCCGGGGUACCUGUGCCCUUGUUUGCUCGAUCCUGCUCGCUGGGAGGCACGCUCUCGCCAUCCUUGGGUCGGCUCGCUUGGGCGGGAGCUCCAGAUCUUUUUGGCCGCGACGGUUCAAAGAGCCGACCGUGCUCGUGUCGGUCGCCGCCCCGGGUCUCUCUCAUUUUUUUCAAUAUACAAAACAAAAAUUUUAAUGUUGGCCGGAAAAGAGAAAAGCGGUUGCGUGCUCGCACCACUUUUUUUUAUUGUCAUUCGUGACAAAAAAAAUGUACGUAUAACUUUGAGCGGUGGAUCACUCGGCUCGUGCGUCGAUGA
rnacentral:misc_RNA from 1 species